rfam:Glycine max cultivar Williams 82 chromosome 18, whole genome shotgun sequence.
AUCUUUGUGCUUGGGGCAAUGACGCAGCUAGUGAGGUUCUAACCGAGGUGCAUCUAUUGAUGGUUGAAAUCUAUUUCCAAACCUUUCUUAGGCCUGGGUUUUAGCUCAAGCCCAGGUAAAGUGCAAUCUAGUUUCAAAAAUAGUUUU